UUACGGCCACAUCACGUUGAAACAUUGGUUCCCGUACGAUCACCAAAGCUAAACAGCAUCGAGCCCGAUCAGUACCUAGAUGAGUGAUCACUUGAGAAUAUCAGGUGCUGUAAG